GGCCGCCUGGCUCGGGCGUGCGGGGCGGAGCCUUCGCGGGGAUGGGCCCAGGGCGCGAGUGAAGCACGGCUCGACCAAUGGGCUUGCCCGCGCGCCGUCCGCCCCGCCCCUGACGGCCAGACGACGGGAGGAGACCGGGCUCCGACGCUUCCCCGGCUCGCGAAGCGACGCCCGCCGAGCUCGCGCCGCGGCGCGGGGCCUGCCGGGACUUGUAGUCCGAGAGCCCAGGAUCCAGUGUGGACGGCUGGGCGAACUUUAGAGGGGCUGGCGCGUGCUCCCGAACCUGGAAGACGCCUUUCCCCUCCUCCUACGAGCGAGCGACAUGCAUAUUCAGCUGGGCCCUAAAUCCCAUCACACAAGUGUCCUGAGGAGAGGGAGGCGAAGGGAGAUUUGGUAAACACAGAAGAGAAGGCCACGUGGCUGUACGUCCAGGAGUUUCCACGCCCACCGGAAGCUGCCAGAGGUAAGGACUAGAGCCUCCACAAGAAGCAUAGCCUGCCAACACCCAGUAAUAGCGAUUUGGGUUUCUGACAACCAGAACUGUGAGAAAAUAAAUUUCUGUUGUUUGUGGUAAUUUGUUACUGCAGCCACAGAAAACUAAUACAAAUAGAUGGGAUGGAACUCCAUUUGCCAUAUCGUGGUUGAAUUAGUACCACAGGUAGGCUAUAAAUAUAAGAAUUCAGAAAAAAAAUCAACAAAAGCAUUCUGUGAAAAACUGGCUAUACAAAUUUAUGAUAAAGAAUAUUGUAUAUUUUAUUUGUACUUUAUGUGCUAUACAUCUUUUAUAUCAGUACAAUUUAUAAUAACAUGUGUGUAUAUGACAUAUACCAGGUCUGUCUUGUAUCCUCAACACCCAGCACAGAGCUUGGUACACAAUAGGACACUCAAACAUUUUUUGAAUGAACAUGACUUUGGACCUAAGUUUCCCCCACCACACAACAGGGUCGGAGGAAUGAGAUGGGCUCCCCAGGUGGGCAGAACUGGUGCCAGAUGUUGUUAGAGCACCUACUGUGUACAAGACCGGGCUGGGGGCAGGCUGAUGGGACAUAGCAGCUGGCCCAAACAGCUGGUGCCCCAGAAGAUGGCUGGGAACAGUCAGGUAGGGGAUCUCCCAUUCCCUUAAGGUCUCUGCAGGCUUGGGGACUGCUCAAGGGAUUAUCACAGUCCAAGAGAUGGGGUGCCAAGGAGCCACUGUACAGCUACAGAGACUAAUGCCAAGGACACAGCAGGAUCUGCUAGGGUGGGACCCUCUUUCUCUAAGUUCUCCUGUCCCUCAAUCCUGCAGGGCAAAGGGCCUCUUUCACCCAGGGACUAGGAAGAACCAGGGUCUGGCUUUGUCACAGCUACAGAAGAGCCCUCUCUUUCCCAGCUUUCCAUGUGAGCCCCCAUUCCAUGCUCCUAGUCAGGAGCCCAGGCAUAGAGGGGUGGGUGCGCACCUCUACGUGUAUACUCUAGCUCAUCUUUGGCAAGUUACUACUUUCCCUCUCAGCUCCAAUGUCUCCUCUCUGGGGCAUCCAGGGCCCGGUCUGCAGCCAGUGGCUGACCCCUGUAGGCCCAACUGGCCGGAUCUGUUACCGAUUUGCAGGAAUGAGCCCUGGCUGGACAAUUGUUGGAUCUGGACUUUCCUCUGUUAAAUGGGCAGUUAAGUGGCUUUCCAGGUUUCCACAAUAAGAAUUUGGCCACGCAGACUGGCUCUGGGCACUGGAAGCAAAUGAAGACGACUCUAGGCCAAAGCCCCUAACCAGAACCUGGGAGCCAGGUCUGGGAUCUGGAGGUAUUAAAACCCUCUGGGCCCCAAUCCCAUUCCAUCGCAAAAUGUCUGCCUGUGUCCAUACACCACAACUCUACUGGUAUGAAUUCUGAAGGCAAGGACCAGGAUAGUUUUGCUCACUAUUGGGGCCACAGUGUGGGAUUGCCCAGAAUAUAAGAACUCAGUUAUUUGUUUAAUGAGCAAAACCACUUGUGUGUCUUCUACAAAGACCAGGCUCUCCCCCCUGCCUUUGCUCAUGCUGUCCUUCCUUCACUAGCACACAUCCUCUGAUCACCCCUAGGAAGAGGAUCUUCCAGAACUCAGCAGGGUAGGAUCCUGGCUCCUGGGAGUGGGAGAAAAAGCAGAAGUCCAGUCCACCUUCAGCCCCUGGGCCUGUGUCAGCGAUUGGUCAUCUCCUCUGGAGCCCUAGUGGACAAUAAACUCUGCUCACCACCAACCCCCCAUUCAGAGUUUAAAGAGAAAAUGAAGGGAUGAAGGAAGCACCAAAGGCAAGCCCUCUUUUAUGAUAGCAUCAGACAACUGUUUCAAAAUAUAUUAGAUUUGGUUUUUAUUGUAGAGCACACAUAUCAGGGCAAAGUGCUGCACACACAACUACAAAUCAUUGAGGGGGGAGGGGGAGCUGUAAAAAAAAAAUGCAACUGCCUUAGUUAUGCAGUUCCAACUUGAGGAUCCACGCUGGCCAAGGAGUUCUGGCCCUGAGAAGGGCUUCCUAAUGGUGGCUGCCCCCAAUUUCUGCAGCCCCAGACCUAGGAUUCUAUAAACAAGGUCCUCCCCAUGGUGGUGGCAACGUGGGGAAUCUGCUCUCAGGCCUAGCAAGGAAACAUUUCUAACAAAUCUAGACCAGCAAAACCUCACAGCCCUCGAGAAUCUGAGGAGGUGGCAACUGCCAAAGACUACUUUCCCCCUCUUAUUACUAUUUUUUAAAAGCCCCUUCCCCAGCUCCCAUGCCCCGAGGCGGAAGAGACACUGACCCAGUCUGCAGACCUGGGCUCUGGCCUUAGAUGUGUGCUGCAGGCAGGCAGAGGGGCAGACACCUUUCUAUGGGGGUGACAUGGGGAGAAGGCCCAAACUGGCCAAUGUAGACGAAAGGAAAGGAAAAGGAAAAGAACGAGACCGAAGGGGGGAAAAAUCUAAACAAAAAUCCUGCUACACACCACAACAAUUUUCCAUACCCCAAAUGCUAGACUUGGAAGGACACCAGUCCUUCUAGCUAGAAACAAUUUCUAAAACUGUCCCAACAUGGCCAGUCUAACUGUUCCAUACAAUCACACGCAUAUGCCCGAAAGGAGCAAUCCAGCAGAGGUAUGCUCUUGGCAAGAGGUCAGGACUGCUGCAGCCAGGGACCUGUAGGCAAAGCAGGCCAGUGGGCAUGGAGGAAGCCCUGGGCUCGGCCAAUAGCUCUGGGGUGCAGAGGCUGGCACUAUUGAAGCGCCUGCUCAGUCAUCCUGAAUGAUUCUGCAGCAGGAGGAAGGUGUUUGUGUGACUUUCCAGAGCCUGGAGAGCAGGUGACAGACAGGACAGCAAGGCCCAGGAGACCUCAGCCCAGCUUAAACAUGGGGGGGGGGGGGGGGCGGCGCGGUUACAGGGACAACUUCAUUCACAACACUGAGAAAAUUUACAUAUAAAGCAAAACAAGAAUUUUCUUAACCAAAACAUUUUGUUGCUUUUAAAUAAACCAGCCUGGCACAGCCCCACUUGAUGAUGGUUGCCCCGCGUUCCUCUACUAGCCACUCCAGGGUGAGCUGUCAGCCUUUCCAUCCAAGAGGAAAACCAGGAACCAAUUCUGUUCUUUAGCCUCAACAGGCAACAAACCAAGGAAAAAUGAAAGGGUCCAAACAAACAAACAAAA